ACCUGUUGAUGAUUAGGGGGGGAGGAGGCCACAGUCGUGAGUUGGUCAUUUGUGUCGUGUAACCCAUUUCCUGUAACACACUACGCCUCCGUUAUCUUCGUUUCUCUCUUCAUUUCUUCUUCUCCUUCCAUCAAGCCUGGGGGGUAGAAUAAAUACACUUCGAGAGUUUGCUCCGCUAAUCCACUUUCCUGCAGCUUAUUCAACAGCCUCACACCUGUUGCACGCGAAAAGCUAAAAACAAGACGUCCCAUUCAUUUUUAUCAAACAGAAGGAAAAAAAAAACAAGGACAAUGACAAAUCAACCGAGAAAAAGGAGAAUCUUAUGGAAAUGAAGGAGGAAGAGGAUGGGUCAGAAAAAAAAAUACCUCCUAAAUUUUUGUGCUGCUGUUGCGACAUGCAGUCAACGUUGAGAAUUUGCUAGUGCAACAUGCACAACCACAAGCCAAAUGCUGCUGUUGGGUACCAUCGACAUAAUCCAGGUGCUCACGUCCUCAUCAGCCUCUCAGUUAUCAAUAUUUUCCUUUGGCUACUGUGCACCACAUUUUCAGCUAUGAUUUUGAUUCGAUUCAACUCACCCAAUUCGCUGAUUCGGUUCGCUUCGCUCGAUCUUAUUAGUCCGGGAGUUUGGGGCUCACUUUUUUACGGCCUGGGUGGCCUUCUGGGUAUUUGCGCCGCCUUAUGAAAGAAGACAGCCCAUAUUAGUGGGAACUUUGGUGCUGGCCAUGUUGUCCAUUUUUAGUUCGUUGGGAAUUGCGGCCGUCAGUGGGGCCAUGGCCGUGUCACCUCGAUUCCGUUCCUAUAACAAUGCAAUAUGGCUGGGAUUGGAGUGGACCCUGCUCAUUUUGAGCAUUUUGGGUUUUAUUGUUAACUUGUCGGUUUUUGUCUCUGUUUCCGUUCUGAUUUGUCGGCCCUGUUGCCCAAAUAAUAGUAAUCACAACUAUCAUCACCGACAGCCACUUCCUCCUGCUCCACUACCACCAAACUGUAACAACAAUAGCAUUCAUAAUGCUAAUUAUGUGGGUGCUGCAGAGAUGGCAAACAUGACUUUGGUACCGCCACCUCCACCAGGAUUUGUUGUCAACCCACCAGUUGCAUCACACCAACGACAACAGCAAACAAGACAUCAACAAAAUUUUAAUUCUUCUCCAUUACCUCAUGGGCUCAUUGCUUCAGAAACAAAUUUUUGAGUUGUCGUGUACAUGAAAUUAAGUCACGGUAUCUUGGUGCCAAGCAAGUUUGAUUGGUUUUAGCUCCUCCUAGUCAUUUAAAAUGCCUCUUGUUAUUGCCACCCUAUGGCUCAUGUUCAAUAAAAAAUUCUACCAGCA